rnacentral:ncRNA from 1 species
AUAAGGUGGAAAAAUUUGAAUGCUUGCAACCACAGAAAAAAAAUGCUAAAU